GCUACAUGAUGCUUUCAGAGCUGUGAGUUCUUGCUGCUAAGAUGACCUUUAUCACUCUUGACUGAGAGCU